CUCAGCCAGAUCAUGGGUGGAUUAUGGAACCCGCGGAGCUCCAGUCUGCAUGAAAUGGAGCCAGCACAGGGCUAUGUCAGCCUGGACAAGAGGCAGGAGAAAGAAGCCACGCAGGGUCCCGAGCAGGGUCGGCCCUCAGCUGGCCUCGAAAGCUCCAGUGCAGUGAUCGCCAUCACAGCUGAGGGUUAAGAUGGGGCCCAGCUGCACCCUGGACCUGCUUCCGGGGAAGCCCAACUUGGACAGCACGUGCCAGGAGCAGUGUGACCAACUGGCCACAAAAACAGGACUUGGGAGUGCAUCCCCACCCCAGCUGGUGAGGAGAACCCAGGGCAGGGGCCAAGCAGGGGACAGGGAGCCCCUCUGAAGAGGAGCAGCAGUGUCAGAGAAAGUGGGGAGGAGGGGCUGAAGGAGGAGGAACCCCAUGACCAACCCAGGUACAAGGCAGCAACGGCCGGGAGUGCCAAGACCUGACAUGGGAGACCGUGUAGCAGUCAGCUUUCUGUCACUGGGACGCAACACUGACGCCCACAACUUCAAGGAGAAGUUUGUUUCGGCUCACGGUGUCAGGGGGCUCAGCCCACAGACCAAAGGCUGCAAGGCGCAUGGUGGAAGGACCUGGUGCAAGGAGCUGGUGGAGGAAAGCUGCUCACCUGUGGCAUCCAGGAAGCAGAAAAAGGGGAGGGGCUGAAUUCACCUUUCCAGGCCUUUCCCCAGUACCCGCCUCCAGCCAGGGCCAGCCACUAACAGCACAGCUACUAAGUCCUCCACGCAUGAAUCCACUCACGCGUGUGGCACCCCCAGGACCCAGUUACCUUCCACGUGCAUGAGACGUUGGGGGACACUGCAGGUCGAAACCACAACAUCUGAGUUGAAUCUGAAGUCCUCCCACUCCACUGAACUCUAGAUCCUGCCAGCUUGGCCCGCUUGUCCCCGUGAAGGGCAGGUGCCCCAGCAGUCAGGUGUGCAGGGGGCUCCUCGCUCCAGGACGGCAGCUCCCCUCAGGGUGUGCCCCACCCGCUCCAGGCCACUAGGUGGAUGCCCCCGUUAGAUCACAGCGUAACUCACAGGCACCGUGAUGGAUCAGGCGCACCUCGCUGGCCCAGGCCCAGAUCCCGCAGGCCCAGGGACAUGACGCCGGGGAUGUGAAGUGAAGCCCUUGGCGAGAGCUUUCCCGCUCGUGCAGGAUGCUACACCCUGGUAAGGCUCCAAACCGACGCUGACACUGGCAGGGUGGCACGAGAGAGCUGGGAAGGGGUGUGGACACCAGAACCGUGCUGACUGACCCAGGAAGGGCAGAGUCCCAGGCCAGCUGGUGACUGUGUCCCGCGGCAGUGGGCCUGCCCGGCACUCCUCCAGGGCUGGGAGUUAGACCUGGGAGCCAGGAGGCUCGGCCGAGGGCAUGCUGGGACAGGCACGCACAGGAGCCUGGGGGCUGCACGCGUCCCGGGCUGGUGAGUGAAGCCCCUCUGGACAGCAGCCAGCUCGGUCCCGGGCCACAGGACUGCACGGCCAGGAGCCUAGGACACCCAGCUGCUGCCACCGGGGAGGGUCCUGCAGUUCGCUCAGCCCCACCGCCCAGCACAGGUGAGACACCCAGGGCUGCGGCCAGAGCCAGGUGAGCGGGGGACGAGAGGGGCCCCUGCCUCCAUCCGGGUUCACAGCGUGCUCGGCCCAGGUGGCUGCAGCCACAGUGAGAAGCCAGGAUGGAGGGGGACAGCCCGCCCAGUCACAGCUGGGGAAUGGAGGGGCUGGGACACAAGCCAGGACCUGGACGGCCAGUGACAGCACUGCCUCUGGGGCUGCCUGCGUGACCAGGCCAGAGCUCGCCUUCCUCCAGGGCCCAGCCUGCUGCCUGGCUGGUCCUUCCCAGCCCCCCGGACACCAGGAUCCCUUCUAAUCCCCGUCCCCUCGGUGUGACAUAGGGGACAGACCCCAUGUCUGCACUGCAGCUUUGUGGAUCCUGCAUUUCUAUCCUCUACCUCAGUAUCCCCAUGUCUGCCCCAGUGCAGAAGCACCAGGGACUUUAUGUAAACCAUCCGCCUUUGGUUUGAGAGCUGAGGACAGAACCCAGGGCCUGGUGGGUGCCAGGCAAGCGUUCUGCCACCCAGCAGCACCUCUGGCCCCUAAAUCCUCUUUUUAUUCUCACUCUCAGGACAUGGUCGUUGUGCCCAUUUUACAGAUGACAGCCGCAGGGCAGGACCUGCCCAAGACCUCCUGCCAAGGCGGGUGGGGCUUGAACCAGCUGUCUGCCCACCUGUGCUUCCUCCUCCUUUCUAGCCCUCGCUGGCGAGGCUGGGGGUCCCAGCUGUCCCUGCCUGGGCCGCCAGCAGCCGUGCUGUCCUGAAAUGGCCCGGACCAAAGGGCCUAGCUGCAGUUACUCAACAACAAUAAGGAUGAGUUGUUUGCGGUGGCUGUCAGCCAAGGCUGCAGCCGCCUGCCCACCUCGGAGGCGUCUGGGAGGGGCGUGGCCUCUCCGGGCUCCUGCACUGCAGACCCCAGCCGACCGCCCCUGCUCCAGACCUCGCCCUGCCUGCCGCCUGCUGCCCCUCCACACCCAACCCAGAGCUCACGGUGCCUGGAUCCCUUUACCCGCGCCCCUGCGCUGAGGACCUGGCUUCCCGUCCCACCCGAGAGAUGGCUGGGCAGCAGCCCUCCCUGCAUGUCCGAGUCCCCGCAGUGCCUUCAGAGAGCCUCCUCCCUGUUCCCAUCUGUGAGGCGGGGGCAGCUGGCUGCCCGGCACGUGACCCUGUGCGGCUGAAUACGGCUGGUGGUGGAUGCAAACCGCAGGCUCACGCUUCAGAAGGCCUCCGCUAACGGGGUUUUCCCCGCAUCCGCGGCUAUUUCCUCCCCACCAGGGUGGGCAGCAACCCCUCUUGCUGGAGCUCUGUCUGCGCCAAUCAGCCUGCUCCCUCCCUCCCGCUCCCUGAGUUGCGCCCCCCAUGUCUGAACCUCAGUCCACAUCCACUCCCCAGUCUGCAAGUAGGAGGCCCCUGGGGCAAGGUGGGACUUCAACACAAAGGGGUUGGGUUUUCGUCUGGGGCUGGGGCCGCUGCCGUUGGCACUGGUUCCUCAGCCCUAAGCCAGCCCCCGGGCCCCAGACUUCUCUUGGCUCUGUCCUCAUGGUUGCAAGAGUGCUACCGCGGCUCCAAACAUCCAGCCGACGUUCAAAGGCAGGAGGCAGGAAGAGGCCAGGGAGGGCCUCCCUCACACAGCUUCUCUUAUCAGGGGGGACAGAGUCUCCGUCCACACGUCUCACUGGCCAGAGCUGGUCCUGUGGCCCGUGAGCUGCGGAGUCCGGGAAAGAAGCCCCUCGAAGGGGGAAUGCUACCGCUCUGCCCAGCCACCAAUGGCAGAGACCUGGCUGGCCCCUCCUCCCAUCCCAAGGACUACGACGCCCCCCCGCUGCGGGAGGUCACCCCGUGCCACCUGCCCCGUGCACACCCCUGCUCUAUGCUGGUCUUGAUCCUCCUCCUUCCCGGGCCCAGCCCUCCUGCCCCAGGUGAUAAUUUUAAGUCCAAACUCUCCUCGGGCUCUCAAGGAAGCGCUGGCUCCAGCAGGGGCUGCACACGCCUGCGUCCUGCCCGGAGGCCCUGCCAGGCUGCUGGAGGCCUGAUGCCACGUGGGGCCCAGCUCCGAGCACACGCUCCCCUCCCUGUGCCCAGCAGGGACGGCUCUGUGUGGUGCCCUCCGGGAGCAAAGGGCCAAGUGAAGGUGCUGGUCACCCCGCCGGGCUGUGCCCUGUGUCCUCUGAGCACCCUCCAUGUCUCUUCCUCCCUCCCUCAGUCUCCCUGAGAUCCCGGGGCCGGAAGAUCCCAAGGAGGAGGCUGAGAGAGGGCAGAAAGCGUCUGACGAGGCCCAGGGUGCCCCAGUGAAGACGCGCUGGGCUUCAGGUGAAGGUCAGCAGCAGUGAGUUCCAGGCGCCCCUGCCCUCCAGAGCCCCCCAGGCCCAUGCCCGACCCCUGGGCUCCCAGGACUGGCGGGGAAGGAGGCCAAGGGCUCAAGAAGCUAUAAGCUUCUCAGGGCAUCACUGCUGGCCACUGCCAGGUGCGGGGUGGCCUGGGCCUCGGGCUGCACAGUGGGCAGUGGAGGCCAGAGCCGGGGCUGGGAAGGCCCCAGGUGGCAGAGCUGGAUGGUGACCAGCAGCCCAGCACCCGGGCCCAGGACAGGACACUGUGUCUUGAUUAUUUCCAGUCUCCUGACCCCCAAGUAGCGAGGUAAUGUUCCUGUUUACUCCGAGGGCUAGAACAGGAGGCGGGGCGGCUAAGCUGGCCUCCUGGCAUUGCCCCCCAAACUUCAGGUAAGACAGCAGCCACAGGGAGCUAAGAGUCACAGGGGGUGGGAGCCAGGGCUCUGGGGGCUCCAGGGCUUUCGGGACCAGCCCAGGAUGCAGGGAUGUGGCUGGGAGACCCGCCACCGCGGCCAUGAGGCUGAGGACCGAGGGCCACAGCAUCCGGUUCGCCUUGCCUGGCUAAGUGUGGCUUCAUCUUGCCCUCUGGGUGGCGAAGGGACGUUAGCCCGGCCGGGCCCUCAGACGUGGGGGGCAGCUCUGCAUCGGGGCCAGCAGCCUGUGGCUGACCGGGAGGGGCUCCAGGAGUUGCAAGCCCAGCUCCGACUUCUGUGGUCUGGACUCCUGAGAUGCUCACGGAUCUGCCCAAGGGACCUGCCUGGCACCCAGGGCCGCGUCCCCGGGGCCGGGUGAGGGCAGCAGCUCUGUCAGGCAGGACCAGCAAAGGUUUGCUGUGCUUUUUUCAAUGCUAGCAAGGCAAAAGCUGUACUGCCACGCACCCCACCCGCAGUGUUGUUUCCUUUUUGUUUUUAAUAAGCAACACGAGUUGGCACCAACUCGCUGCUGGCACCAACGUGAGAUGCCAGUGUGACUUUCACACGCAAGGGUCUCUUCCCUUAUGGAGAAGCACCCCUCCCCUCCCCCACUCACUCCACACAGACACACAUGGAGGGAGGGCGUGGCACAAGGACCGCGGGUGUGCAGGCAGGGGUGGAGGCUCAGGGACACGACACCCCAGUCUCCACGUGUCUGUGCCGUCACCAGGCCCCUGAGGAAGGAGCCCAGAGCCCUCCCUGCAUCUCCCGAGUGUCACAGAGCCCAGGACAGGAUGUCACUGAGACCUGGGAGGGCAGAGACCCCUGUCUCUCCCUGGCACUUGUGUGACCUCCACCUCAGUUUCCCUAUCUCUGAUACCAAAGGGAGUCCGCAAGUACUGUCACCUCCUAUAAGGCCAGGGUAGGGGACAGAGAGCUCAUAUCUGGGGAAACCCUGAUGGGCCCGAAUCUCCCACGUGAGACAGAAGCCAGGGUGGACACCCUGCCUAGCCCGUCUACUUCCCCCCUCUUCCACCAAUAGCUGUGUGGCUUCCGGCAGGUUUCUUGACCUCUCUGGACCCAAGCGUCAGCACUGAGCAGGCUUCUAUCCGGGGACUGACGGGGCUCGGGGUGGUCGGGGACACCUGCACUCCACCCCGAAGCCCGGCCUACGAGGCCACCUCAGGCCACUCCGGGUGGGAAGACGGGGACAGUCGCAGCGCGAGUCCCUCCCCCCACAGUGGCUGUAGAGGGAAAAACAUCAGCCAAAUCACAGCUGAAACUACGUGCAGCGCCUGGAGAGGCUGGGACUGGGGCCGGAAGGGUUGAGAUACUGUGGCCCCAGGGAGAGGCCCCGGGUGCCCAGCUGUGCACAACCUGGGCUCGGGCAUCACCCGGGGCCAGCGUGGUCCCCAGCCCCUCACCCCGCAACCAGGGAGGGCGACGGCACAGGCAGGGCUGUGGGACUUCAGAAGGAGCGGAGGGACACCCAGCGGGGAGUCUCGGGAAGCUGAAAGCCAGGAGGGGGGGGCCCAGGUGGGAGCCGCUGAAGGGGGGCACUGCUUCCGGAAGAAGGCCCUAGGCCCACAUCCCCACGCCCCUCGGUCCAGGCACAUGCCCACAGCGCACACCGCCUCAGCCCGGCCCUCGGCCAUGCCCUGAACCAUGCAGGACACCCAGGCCAGGCGGCCAGCCAGGCCACGCCCCAAGAGAUCAUUUCCCGAAAUCCUCAGGGUCCUGUCAGCGGCAGCUCAGCCCCAGGCUCGCCGAGUCCUAUUGCCCCCUCACACUGCACCCCAGCUGGUCUUGCCCAAGGUGUGGGGUUAAAGGAGGUCAUAGCAAUAGGGAAGCCCCUGCCUACUGCAGGGGCCGGGAGACCCUGGUGGAGAAGGCAGUGAGGGCCCCAGGAGGAAGCCAGUGGACAGUUCUGACACAUAGCUGCACCACGGCUGGAGAUGAGCUGGUGCCAUCAUCCCCACUCCACCUGCCCCCAGCCCAUGUGUCCAGUGACCACGGCCCUCCAACAAUAAAAUGCUGGAGGGGAAUGAGGGAAGCGCCGGCAUGCCCAUGCAGUGCCCCGCGGGGUGCCAGAGCCCCGUCGCGGUCACAGCUGUGUGUGGAAGAGCCCAGCCCUGGGGACACCUGCAAACAGCUGCUUGUCCACAGCCUCUGGGACAUGGGCUGGGCCCCUGCAGGGAGCAAGACUGUCCCCAGUGGAGCGCACGUCCUGACGGGCUCUGAGGAUCGUCUGCAUGUGGCCAGCGUCACAGUGGCAGGGCCAGCAGACGGCGAGCUGCCCAGACCUGUCUGGAGCCCUGCCAGCCUCAGAGUCCUUCAUGGAGAGCCGGGCAUCUGGGAGACCUCGCAGGUCAGCAGGGCCUGGGGCCAGGGAGGAGCCACAGACAGGCGACAGUGAGGAGGAGGUGACAGUGUGGGCACAGGGCCAUCCAGUGCCUGCCCGCACUGUCCCGUGCAUGCAAAACCUCAAUGCCAUUUCACAGAGUGGUGCUCUGAAGCCCAGAGAGAACAGGGUUCUCCGAGGCCUGGAGCUGGCCCCAGGACGGUGCUCGCAGGAACAUGCUGUGGCCAUCCAGCCCUGGCCACUUUGCCUAGCCUGCCUGUGGGGCUCCUCCACGGGAUUCGCAGAAAGGCUGCCCUGCUGCAGCUCGCGGUGCCAGCAGGAGAGCGAGAUGGGGCUCGUCCACUGUGCUUGCUAUGCAGCAGGCCCUCGACCUUUCAAUUUGAAAGAGAUUUGUCUCCUUGGCUGAAGAUUAAACAAUAUGCAGGCAAGAUCCAGUCCUGUCUUGCUCCCCUGGAUAGACGAGUGUACCCCCAAACAAACAUUCCACAAACUCUUAGAGCAGGAAGGGUCUCCCUUCACCCUGAAACAACUCACGGUGCAGAUGAGUUUGGGAAGGGGCUGUGACUUACUAUGUGGCCCUGAGACCCCGGAACCUCCCUCCCCUCUCCCCAGCCCUGGCCCGCUCCAGCCACCUGGCCCACUCCCUGCCCAUCACACUGAAGGACACUGCCCCAAAGAGCCUGACCCAGCUGGGGCUCCAGCCCUGUUCCAUCAUUGAUUGUGAGGUCGCUGCACAUCACUGGGCCUCUGUCUCCCCUUCUAUAGCAUGAGAGAUCCAAGACCUUUUCAUGUCUAGUACUCUGCACUAUGCAACCUAGAAUAGGAAUGCUAGAUCCCCAGCACACAUGCCCUAUCUUGUGAUUUCUGCACUCAUGGCAGACAUCACUAAUCAAUUGCCAAUCUUCACCACCAAGUUCCUAUUACAUAGCAGAGUCCUCAACACAGUGCACAGGUAACCAUUUUCUCACCCACUUAUCAUAGGCACAACUGGGUCUAAAAGACAGGCACACCUACAGCAAGUGGCAAUGAGAGGAACUGCUUCAGAAGGGGCCCUGCAAGGGGCUCUUGCACCAAGCAGGUCUCCCUGGGGGCCUGACAUGCCCACAAAGCCCAGAGAGCUGCACAGAGUAAGAGAGCUGCAGGACACAGCCUUGCCGCCUUCUCUCCUUAGCCUUCCCACUGCCAUUUGUCUGCAGCAGGCCCAGAGGCCCCAAGGGAGACAAGACCAAGGCUCAGACCCCACCAUCCCUCCAGGGCGGCCCAGGCCCCUGCAGGGCCUCUGAUUCCUCCUGAAGCUGAGCUGAGGUCCCGAGGUCAGGCACGGGAGCCUGGGUGUCCUGUGUGUGGCCCGAGCUGGGGCAGGGCUGGGUCUUGGCAGGGGAUGGACCUGCUCCCGCACCCGGCAUGGCAGCACGGCCUUGCGCCGGCUCACUCCUCACUCCACCAAGGCGGGCAGGUGGGGAGCAGGGCUGAGGCUCCGCGCCCACCCCUGCCAGCUUGUACUUAAUUAUAAUGAUAAACGGUGGCAGGCGUCCACGGCCACGUUGCGGAACAUGACAAACACUCCGCAUCUCGGAGCCAGCCGGCUGGGCUCCCACUCCCUGCACCCCUGCACAGUAGGUGAAGGUUAUGCGAGGCCACGAGGCCCCUCCCCUGCCCCAGGCUGGACCCAUGGCCACUGGAAGCUGGACCUGCACCCUCACCCAGCCCAGGCUCCCUCACACCCAGGCUCAGCUCCUCCCAGCAACCUCAGGAGGACUUGUGUCAAAACUAGGAC
rnacentral:lncRNA from 1 species